rnacentral:rRNA from 1 species
GGGGGGGGGGGGCGGCGGGCGGGGGGCGGGCGAGGCGGGCGGACAGAUGAGGAGCUUGCUCCUCUGACGGUAGCGGCGGACGGGUGAGUAACACGGGGAUAACCUACCUAUAAGACUGGGAUAACUUCGGGAAACCGGAGCUAAUACCGGAGAAUAUAUUGAACCGCAUGGUUCAAUAGUGACAGACGGUUUUGCUGUCACUUAUAGAUGGAUCCGCGCCGCAUUAGCUAGUUGGUAAGGUAACGGCUUACCAAGGCAACGAGGCGUAGCCGACCUGAGAGGGUGAUCGGCCACACUGGAACUGAGACACGGUCCAGACUCCUACGGGAGGCAGCAGUAGGGAAUCUUCCGCAAUGGGCGAAAGCCUGACGGAGCAACUCCGCGUGAGUGAUGAAGGUCUUCGGAUCGUAAAACUCUGUUAUUAGGGAAGAACAAAUGUGUAAGUAACUAUGCACGUCUUGACGGUACCUAAUCAGAAAGCCACGGCUAACUACGUG